rnacentral:rRNA from 1 species
AGGACGAACGCUGGCGGCGUGCUUAACACAUGCAAGUCAAGGGGGCCCAGCAAUGGGCAACCGGCGAACGGGUGCGUAACACGUGAGCAACCUACCGAAAUGUGGGGGAUAGCCGGCCUAACGGCCGAGUAAUACCGCAUACGCUCUCGAUGAGGCAUUUCAUUGAGAGGAAACCUACGGGACAUUUCGAGGGCUCGCGGCCUAUCAGCUAGUUGGCGAGGUAACGCUCACCAAGGCAACGACGGGUAGCUGGUCUGAGAGGAUGGCCAGCCACAUUGGGACUGAGAUACGGCCCAGACUCCUACGGGAGGCAGCAGUGGGGGAAUCUUAGCGCAAAGUGGCCUAAACGGCUGAACGUCAGCGGAACGCCGUCCGUGUAGGA